CAAAUUAGGAGAAAGAAGGGAACUUUUCAAUCUGAUAAAGAGCAUCUAUUAAAAAACGUAUAGCUGACACCCUACUUAAGGGUGCAAGACUGAAUACUGAAUACUUUUCACUAAUCUUAGUGUUUAGUGCAAGGAUAUUUACUCUCACUUCUAUUCAACAUUGUGCUGGAGAUUCUAGCCAGUACUAUAAGUUAAGAUUUUUGAAGUCACUUAUAUGUUAUGGAGAAGAAGGAUAAAAUGGUCUUCAUUCAAAAACACUGAUUACCUAUGUAGAAAGUUUCAUGGAAUGUACAGAAGAACUUUUAGAACUAAUGAGUAAGUUUAGCUCUUCCUUGGUACUGCCUGCAGAGGUGGCAGCCAUCUCUACUCAGCAUCAUGGCUACCCUCAGACUUCCAAUGAAGCCCAAGAUAGUUAAAAAGGGGACCAAGAAGUUCAUCUGGUACCAGUCAGACUGCUAUGUCAAAAUUAAGUGCAACUAUUGGAAAUCAGAGGCAUUGACAAUAGGCUGUGCAGAAGAAGAGCCAGAUCUUGAUGCCCAACAUUGGUUAUGGGAGAAACAAGAAAGCAAAGCACAUGCGGCCCAGUGGCUUCCAGAAGUUUCUAGUCUGCAACAUCAAGGAGCUUGAGGUGCUGCUGAUGUGCAACAAAUCUUACUGUGCAGAGAUUGCUCACAAUGUCUCCUCCAAGAACCACAGAGCCAUUGUGGAAAGAGCAUCCCAGAUGACCAUGAGAGUCACCAAUCUUUGAGGCUGCACAUCAAAGAAAAUGAAUAGACAGUAUUAUGUGCACAUUGUAUAUGUGCUAAUAAAAAUAUAAAACUACAAAAAAAAAAAAAGCACUAAUGAGUAAGUUAGCAUAGUCGCAGGACACUAUCAAAAUCAAAAUUCACUCAUAUGUCUUCAUAUUAGGAACAAACACUUAGAAGUUUAAUUUUUAAAUGCAUUGUUAAAAUAGUAUUGAAAUUAUUGAAUAUUUAUGAAUAACUUUGACAAAAGAUGUGUAAGUCUUGUACAUUGAAAUCUUCGAUUGCUGGGAAAAACUAAGACCUAAAUAAACUGAGAGAUAUACUAUGUUCAUGUUUCAGAAGACUCACUAUUUCUAAAGUAUAAAUUCCCCCCCAGUUGAUCUAUAAAUUUAUUGCAAUACCAAUAAAAAUAUCAGCAGACUUUUUAAUAAAAUUUGACAAAGGAAUUCUAAAAUUUAUAUAGAAACGGAAAGGACUUAGACUACCCAAAACAAAUUUGAAAAAGAAUGUUGAAUUUUGGAUAACUAACAUUAAUAACACCAUUUAAAGACUUAUUAUAAAGCUCCAGAAUCAAAACUGUAGUCCAGGCAUAGAGACAAAGAGAUCAAAGGAACAGAAUAGAAUCUCUAGACACACACAUAUGACUUUUGCCAAAGAUGCUGAGACACUUAAACGAGGAAGGAUAAUGUUUUCAAGAAAGAAAUCUUUACAAGAAAUCUUCUCAAUAACUGAAUAUGCAAAAAAUUAAGCCUUUGACCUUACCUUACACCAUUUGCAAAAAAUAACUCAAAAUGGAUUGUAGAUCUAUAUGUAAGAGAUAAAACUAUAAAACUUCUAGGAGAAAAUCUUAGUGAACUUGGGUUUGGCAAGGAUUUUUAAACAUGACACAAAAAGCAGACACUAUAAAAAGAAAAAAAUCAAUAAAUUUGACUUCUUAAGAAUUAAAAACUUUUGCUCUUCAAAAACACUGUUAGUUUUCAGUCUGCCAUGUAAGGAGCUUGAAAGUCAUCAUUGCCAACCUCACCACAAGAAAAAAAGAUGAGCAAACUGAAAAUUAGCAACUGUUCUUAGAUGCAUCAGAGUUUCAAGAUCACAAGUGCUGCGCCCCCCCCCCCCCACUCAAAUUUGCGAGACAGAGAAGCAGAUAAAGACAAUCACAACUUACAGGAUUAAGGAACUCCACAGGAACAAGUACCAGGGUAGGAAAACCUAAACUGUAAUUGAUGGUUUGCUGGAAUUUGGUGUGGACAAGUUUGAGUUAAAAACUCCAAGAAGGCCAGUCUUUCAAGGUUGCCCAUGCUUAUCUGAGCUUUAUCUUCAAAAGAGCUACCAAGUUCUCACAGUUAGAGACAGAGAAAAAUCCCCUUAUGCUUCUGGCAGGGGGUGGGGAAAACAGCCAUUCUGAAAUACAUUCAGAGCGUUCCGUUCAUCUGUUUUACCAGAUGAACAGAAACUGUUUUUACCAGAGCUUAAUUGACCUGGGGGAAGGGAAAUACCCAACUCCAGCCUCCUCUAGCCUUCCUGUCUCACCUAGGAGGGAAACAAUUGAAAAGCACUUGUGGGGGUCACAGCCCAGGAUCACAGGCUCAUUAAAAGAUUGAGGCUUAAUCAUAGGACUAUAGAACACUUACCUCUCUUCACACCUCACACCCAUAUCAGUAGGGCUCCUGUAUAAUAACAGGGGGACACAACUAAAAGAACUGCAUGUCUCAGACCUAACUUAAGAAAAAGGCUCCAGAGAAGCUCAAAGACAAUAGAAGAGAUAAAAACAAAAAUACCAGAGGAAAUUUUAUCCUCUGAUAUCCAUAACAAACAAUAAACACAGCCUAACCUAUAGCCACAUAAACAUAACACCUCACAUGAAACCCUAUUUACCUCAGUUCGUUUUUAUUCAGUGCAUCAUGUUGGCUUCCAACAAAAAAAUUACAAGUUGUACUAAAAGACAAGAAAUAAUACAUUUUGAAGAGACAGAGCAAGGAUCAGAAUAAGACUCAGUUAUGGCAGAGAUACUGAAAUUGCCAAACUGGGGAUUUAAAACAACAUGACUCAUAUGCUAUGAUCUUUAAUGGAAAAAGUGUGCAAGAACAAAUAAGCAGAAAGAUGGAAGCAAAUGGAUAUACUAGAAAUCAAAAAGCACUGUAAUAAAAAAUGAAGAAUGCCUUUGAUGAACUCGUCAAUAGACUGGACACUAGCCCAGGAAGGAUUAAAUCAGCUUAAAGAUACAUCAAUAGAAACUUCCAAAGCUGAAAUGCAAAGAGAAACAAGAAUGAAAAAGAUGGAACAGAAUAUCCAAGAACUGUGAGAAAAUUCCAAAAGGUGUAACAUAUGCAUAAUGGGAAUACCAAAACAAGAAUGAACGAACGAAUGAACGAAAGAAAGAAAGAAAGAAAGAAAGAAAGAAAGAAAGA